CAUUCUGUGUUCCACGUCAUGGCUAUAACAAUGAAACGUUCUGUUGGGCAUUCCAAGUUAGAAGCACACAAAAACCAAUUAAUAUAAACUUUUCUCCCUUUCCAAAGACAUGUUUCCAACCUGCUUACAUGGUGGUUGAGCCAAUGAGAUCUGAAUUCAAGUAGAGGAAAAUGCUAUCAACAAAGGAAAUAUUCCAGAGCAGCCAUCUAAUAUCCUGGGAGAUCAAGACAGCUAGAGAGAAUCACAGCAAAUGCGGGCUGAUUUGACACAAUACAGAAGGAUCAUUGAGUCAGCAGUUAAAACAAAAUCACUAAUUUUCCAGGGUUGACUUCAGCUGUGGAGAUCUACAUGCUAGAAAAAGUGCGGGUGUUUAUUUCUUCCAGGCAGCUUCCCUGAGAAUGGUUACAUUUGCCGGUUCUCAACUGCACCAUGGAGCAUAAUGUGUCAUUUGAAGUGUAGUUUAUCCUAAAGUGCUGCUUUAAAAAGAUAUUAGGAAUGGAGAUGCAGGAACGCAUACAAAAGAGGAAAAUUCAAGGUUUAUAUAUGAUGUAUUAGAUACACACAAUCCAUCCCCGUCUGUUCCCUCACUAGAAGGUAAAUCAUGUACAAAAACAUUUAAAAGUCAUUUCCCUGUGUACACUAAAUCCUUCCUUGUUUUUCAUUGCUGCCAAACAGAGAAGAGGAAAGAAUUGCUGGAGCACACAUUGGGUGGCACCUUCAUAAUAGCUGCACUUCUUCUUUGCUUCUUUUAUUUUUCCUUCCAGAAGAUGAAGUAUAAAACCGAAGAAGUUUCCUUUACCUGUACAAAAGCUUUUAAAUGAUGGUUUUCUCCAGGAACCGCUACACUUCCCUCAGCAGACCAUUUCCCCAGAUGGGAUUUGCAGUAUAAAACCACCGCAGAUUGGCUUACCGAGGAAAGAAGAUAGACGCAGACAAGUCACUCGAAAGAUAAAUAAGCCACAGAGAUCAGUAAAUAAAAGACAAGCAAAGAAAA